rnacentral:rRNA from 1 species
GAUCUCCUACGGGAGGCAGCAGUGGGGAAUAUUGCACAAUGGGGGAAGCCCUGAUGCAGCCAUGCCGCGUGUGUGAAGAAGGCCUUCGGGUUGUAAAGCACUUUCAGUUGUGAGGAAAAGUUAGUAGUUAAUACCUGCUAGCCGUGACGUUAACAACAGAAGAAGCACCGGCUAACUCCGUGCCAGCAGCCGCGGUAAUACGGAGGGUGCGAGCGUUAAUCGGAAUUACUGGGCGUAAAGCGCACGCAGGCGGUUUGUUAAGCUAGAUGUGAAAGCCCCGGGCUCAACCUGGGAUGGUCAUUUAGAACUGGCAGACUAGAGUCUUGGAGAGGGGAGUGGAAUUCCAGGUGUAGCGGUGAAAUGCGUAGAUAUCUGGAGGAACACCA